CCCAGUUUUGAACCAAUCCGCAACAGGCACGUUAGACCCAGCUUUGAACCAAUCCGCAACAAGCACGUUAGCCCCAGCUUUGAACCAAUCCGCGACAAGCAUGUUGAACCAAUCCGCAACAAGCACGUUAGCCCCAUUAUCAGAUGGUGGUGCAGACCCAACGUCAUCUGUGCCUGAUAUCGGGGAAACCCCCGCCCAAUCCGACUCAGUUAUGAGUACUGGGAGCACGACAACUUUCAACAGCACCUUGGAUAUUCCUAGUGGAAAGUCUCGUUUAGCCGGUGGUCAAGUCGCAGGAUUGGUCAUCGGCACCUUGCUGCUGGUCGCAUUGAUUGCAGGCAUAGUGUUGACUCAGGUCAAGAAAGAGAAACAUAUUUCCCUGGCAGAGAUAAAUGAUGAAUGACUCCAACUGGAGCGCUGGAACAGUGGGAAGACUUUCUACAAGCCUUAGCAAGUGGAAAAAGCUGACGGCCAGUUCCAGUCAUUGUUAGCAUUCCUGUAGUGUUACACCACGCAUACACAUGCAUGCACAUGUCAACACACCUAUAUACAAUUAUUAUGCAUGACUGUAAGAGGUAAUAAUCAGUAUGCAUUUCACACGAUGUUUUUUGAUUUUUCAUUGCUAUUGGAGUGAGCAUUCUGACAACACAUAGUGCCUAUCGUAAAUGCAUUUCCACUAAUAUCUGCGAAGGUGUUUUUUCGCUGUGCACUGUUACAUUUUGCCUCCAAGUUUAUUUGUUAUCACAAAUCUAUACUGUCGUUGAUAAAGGUUGCUGCACCCAGCUAGACCAGUUGGUUUUCCAUUGACCGAAGAGAGCAUUCUUACAACACAUAGUGCCUAUCGUAGAUGUAUUUCCCCUGAAAUCUGUGAAGAAGUAUAUCCUCUGUGCACUGUUACAUUUUGCCUCCAAGUACGUUAGUUUGUCAUGAGAGGAAUCUGUACUUUUGUUGAUAAAAUAAUGUCACUGCACUCAGCUAGAACAGUUGAUUUCUAAUAAUUGAUAUCGGAGUGAGCAUUCUUGCAACACAUACUAAGUAGUGCCUAUAGUAGAUGCAUUUCCACUGAUAUCUGUGAAGGAGUAUUUUCGCCAUGCAUUAUUGCAUUUUACCUCCAAUUAAUUUGUAGUCACAAAUCUGUACUUUCGUUGAUUAAUGUCGCUGCACUCAGCUUGAACGCAGUUGGUUGUCCAUUGAUCGGAGAGAGCAUUCUUACAGCACAUAGUGCCUAUCGUAGAUGUAUUUCCACUGAAAUCUGUGAAGAAGUAUAUCCUCUGUGCGCUGUUACAUUUUGCCCCCGAGUAUGCUAGUUUGUCAUCAGGAAUCUGUACUUUUGUUGAUAAAAUAAUGUCGCUGCAUUCAGCUAGAACAGUUGAUUUCUAAUUGUUAUUGGAGUGAGCAUUCUUACAACACGUAGUGCCUAUCGUAGAUUACAUUUUGCGUCCAAGUAUGUUAUUUUGUAGUCACAAAUCUGUACUUUCGUUGAUUAAUGUCGCUGCGCUCAGCUAGAACGCAGUUGGUUGUCCAUUGAUCGGAGAGAGCAUUCUUACAGCACAUAGUGCCUAUCAUAGAUGUAUUUCCACUGAAAUCUGUGAAGAAGUAUAUCCUCUGUGCGCUGUUACAUCUUACCUCCGAGUAUGCUAGUUUGUCAUCAGGAAUCUGUACUUUUGUUGAUAAAAUAAUGUCACUGCAUGCAGCUAGAACAGUUGAUUUCUAAUUGAUAUUGGAGUGAGCAUUCUUACAACACGUAGUGGCUAUCGUAGAUGCAAUUCCACUGGUAUCUGUGAAGCAGUAAAUUCUCUUUGUACUUGUACAUUUAGCCUCCAAGUCU